CACACCAGUAUUUGUAAGUCGCUCUGGAUAAGAGCGUCUGCUAAAUUACGUAAA
rfam:Salmo salar isolate Sally breed double haploid chromosome ssa06, whole genome shotgun sequence.